AGAGUUUGAUCCUGGCUCAGAUUGAACGCUGGCGGCAGGCUUAACACAUGCAAGUCGAACGGUAACAGGAGAAAGCUUGCUUUCUUGCUGACGAGUGGCGGACGGGUGAGUAAUGCUUGGGAAUCUGGCUUAUGGAGGGGGAUAACUACGGGAAACUGUAGCUAAUACCGCGUAAUAUCUUCGGAUUAAAGGGUGGGACUUUCGGGCCACCUGCCAUAAGAUGAGCCCAAGUGGGAUUAGGUAGUUGGUGGGGUAAAGGCCUACCAAGCCGACGAUCUCUAGCUGGUCUGAGAGGAUGACCAGCCACACUGGAACUGAGACACGGUCCAGACUCCUACGGGAGGCAGCAGUGGGGAAUAUUGCACAAUGGGGGGAACCCUGAUGCAGCCAUGCCGCGUGAAUGAAGAAGGCCUUCGGGUUGUAAAGUUCUUUCGGUGAUGAGGAAGGUGUUUGUUUUAAUAGAACAAGCAAUUGACGUUAGUCACAGAAGAAGCACCGGCUAACUCCGUGCCAGCAGCCGCGGUAAUACGGAGGGUGCGAGCGUUAAUCGGAAUGACUGGGCGUAAAGGGCACGCAGGCGGUGACUUAAGUGAGAUGUGAAAGCCCCGAGCUUAACUUGGGAAUUGCAUUUCAUACUGGGUCGCUAGAGUAUUUUAGGGAGGGGUAGAAUUCCACGUGUAGCGGUGAAAUGCGUAGAGAUGUGGAGGAAUACCGAAGGCGAAGGCAGCCCCUUGGGAAUAUACUGACGCUCAUGUGCGAAAGCGUGGGGAGCAAACAGGAUUAGAUACCCUGGUAGUCCACGCUGUAAACGCUGUCGAUUUGGGGAUUGGGCUUAGAGCUUGGUGCCCGUAGCU
rnacentral:rRNA from 1 species